rnacentral:rRNA from 1 species
AAUUUUGGACCAUGGGGGCAACCCUGAUCCAGCCAUCGCGCGUGUGCGAUGAAGGCCUUCGGGUUGUAAAGCACUCUUUGCAGGGAAGAAAAGGCGCUGGCUGAUACCUGUAGCUGCUGACGGUACCUGCAGAAUAAGCACUGGCUAACUACGUGCCAGCAGCCGCGGUAAUACGUAGGGUGCAAGCUUUAAUCGGAAUUACUGGCCGUAAAGCGUGCGCAGGCGGUUCGGCAAGAAGGAUGUGAAAACCCAGGGCUUAACCUUGGAACUGCAUUCUUAACUGCCGGGCUAGAGUAUGUCAGAGGGGGGUAGAAUUCCGCGUGUAGCAGUGAAAUGCGUAGAGAUGCGGAGGAAUACCGAUGGCGAAGGCAGCCCCCUGGGAUAAUACUGACGCUCAUGCACGAAAGCGUGGGGAGCAAAC